CUCUCUUUUCGGACUCAGCCCGCCUGCACCCAGGUGAAAUAAACAGCCUUGUUGCUCACACAAAGCCUGUUUGGUGGCCUCUUCACACAGACAUGUGUGACAUUUGGUGCCAAAGACCCAGGACAGGAGGACUCCUUCGGGAGAACGGUCCCCUGUCCUCGCCCUUACUCUGUGAGGAGAUCCACCUAUGACCUCGGGUCCUCAGACCAACCAGCCCAAGGAACAUCUCACCAAUUUCAAAUCAGAUUGGCUCUCCACUCAACCCCUAGAAGCUGAGCCUUUGAGACAGCAUCAGCAAGCUCCUUCCUCCUCUGGCUUCCCCUGGCACCAGCAGGAGGUGACAGGCCGCAGAUUGCACUGCCCAAGAAGGAGCCGGCUUGAAGAGCAAGCAAGUUGGGCACCUGAGAUGAGAUCCAGCACUAGGCGUAGAAAAUGAACUCUGCUUGUGCCCCAUGCCCUAGACCAUGGCAUGGCCAGGGUCUGUCCCCAUGUCUGUGUUUCCUAAAGUUGGUGUGCACCCUCCUCAUUAUUCAGCUGUCAUUGCAUUUGCCUGGGAAGACUUCACUUGCAGAGCCCAGAGCAGCCAGCUUAAUAGCUCCUGUGGUGGUUUUUAAAAUAUGUCCACAUGUCCUUGGAGAUGCUUUACAUCAAUUAGUGGAGUCUAAGGCCAGGCGCUGUGGCUCACAUCUGAAAUCCCAGCACUUUGGGAGGCUGAGGUGGGCGGAUCACCUGAGGU
rnacentral:lncRNA from 1 species